rnacentral:lncRNA from 1 species
CUCAAAGCCAUUUAGAUGGAGGUCGAUGAGCUGAACUGAGCCACCCAGAGACUUCAGGCAGAAAUCACCAACCUCAGGAAACAGAUGGGACCCCAACUCAGCAGUGUGCUGCCCUGCAAGACACCAUCCUGGAGGCAGAGCAGAAGGGCAAGGUAGCCAUCGGAGAUGCCCAGGACAAGCUGGCUGAGGUGGAGGCUGGACCAGCUGCUCUGUGAGUACCAGGAGCUGAUGAGCAUCAAGGUGGCCCUGGAGGGCCAGGCGUGCAGGAGUUGAUGCGAUUCCCAGCUGAGAUUGAAUUAUGAAUUAUGAAGCAGACUUGAGGUAUCCUUUCCUCUGACGUUGUUCUCCUCUGAGCCCCGUGAGAGGAUCUACUGAUUAUUCUGUUUUCAUGCGAACAGGCAAUCUAGAGAAGUCACCAACAACAUGAACUGCUCUACAUAGGUGGGGGUGGAUUUGCUGUGCGGUCAGGAUCCAACCUUCCCUUUUCCUGAGAGUAAAAGGAAGGAGCCUUUGGCCAGGCAGCUGGGGCCCUGGGGCCCUGAACUUGCUCUGUAGGCAUUGGCUGUGUGGCCUUGGGCAGGUCACUAUUUGUCCGUGGCCCUGUGGAGGUUCCUCCUCCACAGUAUAGGAGCUGCAGGGUUCCUCUUCCGUGUAGAAACUCACGCUGCAUCCACGUGGGGGAAGGGGAGACCCUGCCUUCAGGGCCCUUGCUGCCUGUGGUGGACACAUGGCCCAGACAGUGGGUGGUGUGGGAGCCCUGGCCACUGUUCCUUCAUGGGACACUUCAAGAAGGUGCCCCUCAAUGCUGUGUGAGAUGGAUAUUCAGGGAUGUAGAAGGGGUGUGGGGGUGCACAGAGCUGUCUCCCCACAGCUGUGGUGUCAAGCACUGUUUCAGCUCUCAGGCCACUGUGUCUGGCUUUUGCUCAGGGAACAGAGACUUCCUGAGAGGGGGCACCAUCCCCUGAGGAUCUGGUGCAGCAUCCAGGUUCGUGUCCAGGGCUGCCAGGUCCUUGGGGGCCAGCUGGAGGGUCCAGACCUCAAGCUAGGAAUCCUGCACAUGCUGGUCCUGACUUGGGAGAUGAGGAGUCAAGUUUAAUGAGAGUCCAGGUCUCCAACUCAGGGCACAGAAACCUGUGGGUCUCCCUCCCAGAGGCAAAGGCCAAUCUUCUGGCCCUGCUCUCUCCUGGUAUCUGUCUGCCUGAGCACGCAUACCUGCUCUGGCUCUACCCCCACCUUUUUGUCUUCUAUGGCAAUGUGGAGAUGGGCUUUUGGGUCAAAACAAAUUCUUUUUCUUUUCUCCCUCAUGCAUCCAAAUGCCAGGCCCCAGAAGAAAGCCCCUCUCAGUGGGCCUUUGGUGUCAGUCACCUUCUCCCUUGUCUCUCCCUGCAGGCUCGUAGUGCUCUUAGCCCACACUGUCUCCUUCUGUGAUGCAGAAGCAAGAGCUCUUCUCCUAUCUCUGGUACUGAAGUAAGGGCAUGCAUAAACACCUUUUGAAACAUGAUUACUAUCAAUUCUCAGUUAUCCACCUUAGUGGAUGUCAGCCAUGGUACUGAUUAUCUGCAACCAUGUUUAGCAAGAAGUUGUUUUUGUUUCAUUUUACAAGGCCUCCUAUGACCUAUUCUAAGGCAGAGGGACUCUCUGCCUUCCACGGAUUCGUAGACCCUGGGUGGCCACAAAAGGGAGGAGGAGAGAGGAAGAUCUAUGGGGACUGGGAGGGUGAAAGUGUGCCAGCCCGGCCCCACCCCAUUCCCUGAGAAAGCCAGGUGGAUUAUCCACCUGGAGAGCAACCUGAGGGUGGGCUGGGUUCAGGUGUCUCCCCUUCUGCCGGAAUGAGUAUAAAAACAUAGCAGAAGCAAAUCCAUCAUAAGGGCCAUACUUCAGGCAGAGUCUAGUUUGAAAUGAUGUCCAGUGUGACCUGCUGGGCUAUGAGGGGUGUGACUAGAGCCCUGGAGCCCUCCAGUUUAUGAAGGAGAUCUUGCAUCCUGUGUUUUGUUUAAAGGGUUGCCCACUCCCACCUUACCCUCUCUCCCACACCUCUCCAAUAAACUUCAUGGGGAAUUUAUUCUGUUUGGAAACUUUAAAAAUAUUCACUAAUAAGAUCUUCCCUGAGUAUUGUUCACUACCCCCAGAUUGCCAUCCUGCAAGGCACACAUGUGCACAUGUGCACACACACACACACACAUGUUCAUUCUGUUCUAUCCUUGCUUGGCUGUCUGUGCUGACAGGAGGGAACACUGGAAGGGGUGCUAUUCCUGUUUGGCUUUGGAAGGUUGGCACAAAGGACCCUUGUUUCCUCUCUCUAUUAGGAAAACUCAGCUUCCGUUUUUACAGCAAUAACUUCAGGCCUUGAGCCUUGUUUGGUGGCCAAGCUGGUGUUAUUAUUGGCUAAUUGCAGGGUAAUAGUGUUGCUAUCAUUAUUGCUAGGAGGACUAUUAUCAGGUAACUAAAUGGCCAGAGGGUGUGGAGUGGGAAAAGCAGCCUGGGGGCUUGGGUCACAAGGGCAACUCUCCUGUUUCGUCUCCUGCUUUGCUCAGAAGGCAGUUUCCAGUCCAGCACUGCACUUGGAGUCCAGAGGUGUUGUAUUGGAAGGCAGGUCUUGUCAAAAGUUCCCUGCUGUGAGCUCUGUUUUGAGCAGCAAGGGGAGGAAGAUAGCCAGGGAUAAUGGUGCACAGGUCCUGCCUUUGAGCCACUCCUACACUUCUGAAGAGGCAGCAUGCAUUCAUUCAACAACCAUUUAUGUGCCAGAUUGUUCUCAACACUAAUACAAAAGGGUGAUCAAGACUUCUGGCUACUGGGAAGCAGGUAAGUGAAGGUGCACAGUAUAGUGAGACAGAUGCUAUCUUGGGAAGAGCAUCUCAGGAACAAGAGACCCAGAUUAGGAGGAUAAGGGAGACUUCCUUGAUGAAGAUUUCUCAAAGCUGAAACCUGAAACCUGAAAGAUGAAGAGUUAGCCAAGGGGAAGGGAGUGUUUAAGUAGAGGUGCUGUAUCUACUGUGAACAGAGCAGUGCUGGGCACAUAAGUAGGUGCACCAUAAAUGGUUGAAAUGGUCAAAUGAAAGAAAAGGAGAUUGACAAGAGCAUAAGAAACUGCAGUCUGGUGGAGCUUGCAGAGAGAUGUGGCAGGACAGGUGGGUGGGGCAAGAUCAGGACAAGAGAGCCCUUCCGGGUAGAGUGGCCACCUUGUUCCUGUUUGCCUGGAACUUUCCUAGUUUUAAAACUGAAAGUCCUACAUCCUGAGAACCCAAUAAGCCCAGGCAAAUGGAAAAUGUUGGUCAUCCUAUGGCUGCGUUGCCUUCCCAGAUUUGGACUCCAUGCUGCAGCUUUGAGCAGUGGACUAUUAGACACAAUGGCAAGAAUGCUUGCUUACCUAGCAGGCAGAGCAUAGCUGAGCCUGCUGGGUGCCUCCCCACCCCGCCCCUUAUCCUUUCUCCUUUCACAGAAGUAGAAAUUUAGAUGAGCACAUGGCCAGCCACCCAAAGAUGACAUUUCCCAGCCUCCCUUGAAAAUAACUAUGGCCAUGAAACUAAGCUCUGGUCAGAGGGAUACGAGUUGUGGUAUCUUGCUCCUGAUUGUGCUGUUAAAAGGCACAACUCCUGAGAGUGGGUUCAGGCUCUGAUGAAAACAAUAUGAGGAAGUUUAAGAAACUCUCCAAGCUCAAGACCUGACCCAGACCUUUUCAAUAAGAAUCUCAGGGUCAGGGAAAGUAGGGAUUUUAGAAAGAUCUCAGGCAGUAGUGGUUAAAAGGAUGGACUCUGCAGUGGGCUGCCUGGCUUCCAGUCCUGGUUCUAGCUAUGUGACCUUGUGCAAGUAACUUAACCUUCUGUGCUUCAGUUUUCUUAUCCAUAAACUGUGUGUUAACUGAACCUUCUUGAUGGGGUUAUUUUGAAGAUUAGUGUGCUCAGAACAGUACCUGUCAUAUACAUGCUUAAUUUAUUAAUGUGCUCAGUAAACAUUGCAAGAUGUACUAUCGCAUAUCACAACCAGGAUAUUGACAUUUAUACAAUUAAGAUACAGAACUUUACCAUCAUCACAAAUUUCCCUCAUGUUGUCCUCAUUUGGACACACCCACUUCUCUCCUGUGACACUGUUUAACCCCCAAGCAAUUACUAAUCUGUUCCCCAUUUCUGUAUUUCAAGAAUGUUAUAUAAAUGGAAUCUUUUUGAGAGUAUUACAUAAAUGGAAUCAUACAAUAUACAAAUCAUACAAUCCCUGAGGAUUUUUUUUUUUACUCAGUAUAAUUCUUUAGAGAUUCACAUGGGUCAUUGCAUGUAGUGAUAGUUUAUUUCUUUUCAUUGCUGAGUAGUACUCUAUGACAUGAAUGUACCACGGUUUGCCACCCAUUGAAGGGCACCUGGAUUGUUUGCAUUUUUUGGCUAUUACAAAUAAAGCUGCUAUAAAUGUUUGCAUACA